AGAUCCAUGGAGCUCACCCUCGAUGGACCCUUCGGUUAGGUGGUUCUGAAAAGUCCUCUUGUUUCUUCGCCAAACUCACAAGUCACUAGAUCUAACCUACACUCCAGGGGAAGAGGAUGACUCAGAACAUGAUUAUCAGGAGCCAAUAGCAUUGAGCACAUUCACACCGGUGGGCCCAUCCCCA